rnacentral:rRNA from 1 species
UAACCUGCCUAUCAGAGGGGGAUAACAUUCGGAAACGGAUGCUAAAACCGCAUAGGUCUUCGAACCGCAUGGUUUGAAGAGGAAAAGAGGCGCAAGCUUCUGCUGAUGGAUGGACCCGCGGUGCAUUAGCUAGUUGGUGAGGUAACGGCUCACCAAGGCCGUGAUGCAUAGCCGACCUGAGAGGGUGAUCGGCCACAUUGGGACUGAGACACGGCCCAA